CGUAACAAGGUCUCCGUAGGUGAACCUGCGGAGGGAUCAUUACACAAAUAUGAAGGCGGGCUGGAACCUCUCGGGGUUACAGCCUUGCUGAAUUAUUCACCCUUGUCUUUUGCGUACUUCUUGUUUCCUUGGUGGGUUCGCCCACCACUAGGACAAACAUAAACCUUUUGUAAUUGCAAUCAGCGUCAGUAACAAAUUAGUAAUUACAACUUUCAACAACGGAUCUCUUGGUUCUGGCAUCGAUGAAGAACGCAGCGAAAUGCGAUAAGUAGUGUGAAUUGCAGAAUUCAGUGAAUCAUCGAAUCUUUGAACGCACAUUGCGCCCUUUGGUAUUCCAAAGGGCAUGCCUGUUCGAGCGUCAUUUGUACCCUCAAGCUUUGCUUGGUGUUGGGCGUCUUGUCUCUAGCUUUGCUGGAGACUCGCCUUAAAGUAAUUGGCAGCCGGCCUACUGGUUUCGGAGCGCAGCACAAGUCGCACUCUCUAUCAGCAAAGGUCUAGCAUCCAUUAAGCCUUUUUUUCAACUUUUGACCUCGGAUCAGGUAGGGAUACCCGCUGAACUUAAGCAUAUCA
rnacentral:rRNA from 1 species